rnacentral:rRNA from 1 species
CUACGGGAGGCAGCAGUUGGGAAUUUUGCACAAUGGGCGAAAGCCUGAUGCAGCAACACUGCGUGAAGGAUGAAGGUCCUCGGAUCGUAAACUUCUUUUAUCUGGGAAUAAUCUUGAAGGUACCAGAUGAAUAAGCACCGGCUAACUACGUGCCAGCAGCCGCGGUAAUACGUAGGGUGCGAACAUUAUCCGGAUUUAUUGGGCGUAAAGCGCUCGUAGGUGGUUUGGAAAGUCAGAUAUGAAAGGUCCGGGCUCAACUCGGGAAACGUAUCUGAAACUUCCUGACUGGAGGUAUGCAGGGGCAGAUGGAACUUGUGGUGUAGCAGUGAAAUGCGUAGAUAUCACAAGGAACGCCAAUGGUGAAGACAGUCUGCUGGGCAUUACCUGACACUGAGGAGCGAAAGCGUGGGGAGCGAACGGGAUUAGAUACCCCGGUAGC